rnacentral:rRNA from 1 species
UUUGAUCAUGGCUCAGGACGAACGCUGGCGGCGUGCUUUAUACAUGCAAGUCGAACGAGAAUCUGACUUCGGUCAGAGGAAAGUGGCGGACGGGCGAGUAAAAUGUAGAGAAUCUGCCCUUGAGUGGGGGACAACAGUUGGAAACGAUUGCUAAUACCCCAUACGAGAUAAGCUGAAAUGUUUAUCUUGAAAACUCCGGUGCUCAAGGAUGAGUCUGCAUCUGAUUAGCUAGUUGGUGGUGUAAUGGACUACCAAGGCGAUGAUCAGUAGCUGGUUUGAGAGGAUGAUCAGCCACAAUGGGACUGAGACACGGCCCAUACUCCUACGGGAGGCAGCAGUAGGGAAUUUUGCGCAAUGGGGGAAACCCUGACGCAGCAACGCCGCGUGAUUGAUGAAGCCCUUCGGGGUGUAAAGAUCUGUCAGUAGGGACGAAUAAUGACUGUACCUACAGAGGAAGCACCGGCUAACUCCGUGCCAGCAGCCGCGGUAAUACGGGGGGUGCGAGCGUUGUCCGGAAUCAUUGGGCGUAAAGAGUUCGUAGGUGGUAUGUUAAGUCUGGUGUUAAAUUCCGAAGCUCAACUUCGGUACGGCACUGGAUACUGGCAAACUUGAAUGCGGUAGAGGUAAAGGGAAUUCCUGGUGUAGCGGUGAAAUGCGUAGAUAUCAGGAGGAACAUCGGUGGCGUAAGCGCAUUACUGGGCCGUAAUUGACACUGAGGAACGAAAGCCGGGGUAGCAAAUGGGAUUAGAUACCCCAGUAGUCCCGGCCGUAAACGAUGGAUACUAGGUGUUGCGGGUAUCGACCCCUGCAGUGCCGUAGCAAACGCGAUAAGUAUCCCGCCUGGGGAGUACGCACGCAAGUGUGCAACUCAAAGGAAUUGACGGA